rnacentral:rRNA from 1 species
AGAGUUUGAUCCUGGCUCAGAACAAACGCUGGCGGCGUGCCUAACACAUGCAAGUCGUACGAGAAAGUCCGCUUCGGUGGAUGAGUAAAGUGGCGCACGGGUGAGUAACGCGUGGAUAAUCUACCCUUUAGUCUGGAAUAACUUAUCGAAAGGUGAACUAAUACCGGAUAAUAUCCCGAUUUCUUCGGCGAUCGGGAUCAAAGAAGGCCUCUGCUUGCAAGCUUUCACUGAAGGAUGAGUCCGCGUACCAUUAGCUAGUUGGCAGGGUAAUGGCCUACCAAGGUUAUGAUGGUUAGCUGGUCUGAGAGGAUGAUCAGCCACACUGGAACUGAAACACGGUCCAGACUCCUACGGGAGGCAGCAGUGAGGAAUAUUGCGCAAUGGGGGCAACCCUGACGCAGCAACGCCGCGUGAGUGAGGAAGGUUUUCGGAUUGUAAAGCUCUGUCGAGCGGAAAGAAGUGCAUGGUGGUUAAUAUCCAUCAUGCUUGACGGUACCGCUAAAGGAAGCACCGGCUAACUCCGUGCCAGCAGCCGCGGUAAUACGGGGGGUGCAAGCGUUGUUCGGAAUCAUUGGGCGUAAAGCGCGUGUAGGCGGCUGGACAAGUCAGAUGUGAAAGCCCUGGGCUUAACCUAGGAAGUGCAUUUGAAACUGUUCAGCUAGAGUAAGGGAGAGGAAAGUGGAAUUCCUGGUGUAGAGGUGAAAUUCGUAGAUAUCAGGAGGAACACCGGUGGCGAAGGCGACUUUCUGGUCCUAUACUGACGCUGAGACGCGAAAGCGUGGGUAGCAAACAGGAUUAGAUACCCUGGUAGUCCACGCUGUAAACGAUGUUCACUAGGUGUUGGGGGUAUUGACCCUUCCAGUGCCGCAGCUAACGCAUUAAGUGAACCGCCUGGGGAGUACGGUCGCAAGAUUAAAACUCAAAGGAAUUGACGG